rnacentral:rRNA from 1 species
AGCGAACGCUGGCGGCAUGCUUAACACAUGCAAGUCGCACGAGGUGCAAGCCUAGUGGCGGACGGGUGAGUAACGCGUAGGUAUCUGUCCAUGGGUGGGGGAUAACAGCGGGAAACUGCUGCUAAUACCGCAUGACACCUGAGGGUCAAAGGCGCAAGUCGCCUGUGGAGGAGCCUGCGUACGAUUAGCUUGUUGGUGGGUAAUGGCCUACCAAGGCGACGAUCGUUAGCUGGUCUGAGAGGAUGAUCAGCCACAUUGGGACUGAGACACGGCCCAAACUCCUACGGGAGGCAGCAGUGGGGAAUAUUGGACAAUGGGCGAAAGCCUGAUCCAGCAAUGCCGCGUGUGUGAAGAAGGUCUUAGGAUUGUAAAGCACUUUCGACGG